rfam:Triticum aestivum genome assembly, contig: Triticum_aestivum_CS42_TGACv1_scaffold_592047_7BS
GAUAUACUCCCUCCGUUCCGAAUUACUUGUCGCACGUAUGGAUGUAUCUAGAUGUAUUUUAGUUCUAGAUACAUCCGUUUCAGCGACGAGUAAUUUGGAACGGAGGGAGUAAUUU